rnacentral:ncRNA from 1 species
CGAGCGAAGAAAGAUUGCGCCCAAGGAGGGGCUCGCGUCUGAUUAGCUAGUUGGUGAGGUAAUAGCUUACCAAGGCGAUGAUCAGUAGCUGGUCCGAGAGGAUGAUCAGCCACACUGGGACUGAGACACGGCCCAGACUCCUACGGGAG